rnacentral:rRNA from 1 species
GACGUAGGGCGCGAGCGUUGUCCGGAAUUAUUGGGCGUAAAGCGCGCGCAGGCGGUCCUUUAAGUCUGAUGUGAAAGCCCACGGCUCAACCGUGGAGGGUCAUUGGAAACUGGGGGACUUGAGUGCAGAAGAGGAAAGCGGAAUUCCACGUGUAGCGGUGAAAUGCGUAGAGAUGUGGAGGAACACCAGUGGCGAAGGCGGCUUUCUGGUCUGUAACUGACGCUGAGGCGCGAAAGCGUGGGGAGCAAACAGG